rnacentral:misc_RNA from 1 species
AAUAGACCUCACAUCAGCCUUCUUCUUCUCUUCCUCUUUAGGCACAGUCACAGUGAGCACUCCAUUUUCCAUGCUGGCUUUCACAUCCUGGACUUUAGCAUUCUCCGGCAACCUGAAUCUCCGCGAGAACUUCCCACUGCUUCUUUCAAUUCUGUGCCACGCGUCCCCAGAUUCUUCCUGCUCUCUGCUUCUGUCCCCACUAAUCUGUAAAACCCUUCCGUCUUCAACCUCCACCUUCAGUUCCUCUUUCCUCAGUCCAGGAACGUCGGCCUUAAAAAUGUGGGCUGCUGGGGUCUCCUUCCAGUCGAUUCGUGCGCUUGCAAACGACGACGUUUCCGCCGGGGAGGAGAGAGGGAAGUUGGGGCGGUCGGCGGCUGUGGGAGAGCGGAAAGGGAAUCCGUCA